rnacentral:rRNA from 1 species
CCUACGGGCGGCUGCAGUGAGGAAUAUUGGUCAAUGGACGAGAGUCUGAACCAGCCAAGUAGCGUGAAGGAUGACUGCCCUAUGGGUUGUAAACUUCUUUUAUAAAGGAAUAAAACGAGGCACGUGUGCCUUUUUGCAUGUACUUUAUGAAUAAGGAUCGGCUAACUCCGUGCCAGCAGCCGCGGUAAUACGGAGGAUCCGAGCGUUUUCCGGAUUUAUUGGGUUUAAAGGGAGCGUAGAUGGGUUGUUAAGUCAGUUGGGAAAGUUUGCGGCUCAACCGUAAAAUUGCAAUUGAUACUGGCAGUCUUGAGUACAGUUGAGGUAUGCGGAAUUCGUGGUGUAGCGGUGAAAUGCUUAGAUAUCACGAAGAACCCCGAUUGCGAAGGCAGCUUACUAAACUGUGACUGACAUUGAUGCUCGAAAGUAUGGGUAUCAAACAGGAUUAGAUACCCUUGUAGUC